CCCUUAGAUGCUCUGGGCCGCACGCGCGCUACACUGGUCGAUGCAACGAGUUUCUUUCCUUGGCCGAUAGGUCUGGGUAAUCUUUGAACGCUGUUCGUGAUUGGGAUAGACCUUUGCAAUUAUGGGUCUUCAACGAGGAAUUCCUAGUAAACGCAAGUCAUCAGCUUGCAUUGAUUACGUCCCUGCCCUUUGUACACACCGCCCGUCGCACCUACCGAUUGAAUGGUCCGGUGAAAUCUCGGGACGGCGGCUUGGUCGCUUGCGUCCGACUGCUGAAACUUGAUUAAACCAUAUCAUUUAGAGGAAGGUGAAGUCGUAACA
rnacentral:rRNA from 1 species